GAUGAACGCUGGCGGCGUGCCUAAUACAUGCCAGUCGAGCGAACAGACGAGGAGCUUGCUCCUCUGACGUUAGCGGCGGACGGGUGAGUAACACGUGGAUAACCUACCUAUAAGACUGGGAUAACUUCGGGAAACCGGAGCUAAUACCGGAUAAUAUAUUGAACCGCAUGGUUCAAUAGUGAAAGACGGUUUUGCUGUCACUUAUAGAUGGAUCCGCGCCGCAUUAGCUAGUUGGUAAGGUAACGGCUUACCAAGGCAACGAUGCGUAGCCGACCUGAGAGGGUGAUCGGCCACACUGGAACUGAGACACGGUCCAGACUCCUACGGGAGGCAGCAGUAGGGAAUCUUCCGCAACGGGCGAAAGCCUGACGGAGCAACGCCGCGUGAGUGAUGAAGGUCUUCGGAUCGUAAAACUCUGUUAUUAGGGAAGAACAAAUGUGUAAGUAACUAUGCACGUCUUGACGGUACCUAAUCAGAAAGCCACGGCUAACUACGUG
rnacentral:rRNA from 1 species